UCACUGCCUACCACCCACAUAAAAUGUAAACUCUCUGAGGGCAGGGAUUUUUUUUUCUUUGCUCAUGUCUGAGACACUGCUCAUAUGUACUCAUUUACUAUUUAUUGAAUAAAUACAUUAAUGAAGAAAUGAACUGAUGGAUGACUGGAGCUGAAGAAAAAAGAAUACAUUCUCUUAGGUUGUGAAAAUAACACAUAUUAAUCUAAGUACUAAGACUAGUUUCCUUUCCCUUGAUGGGGAAUGAAGUAAAGGGCCAAAACAAUCCCAAGGUUUGGAUAUAGGAAAGAAGCUUGUAACAACACAGCUAAAUUGACUUGAAGAAACUGAGAAUUGAGUCUCAAGAAGCUACUAAUAGGACAAUUUAAUCAAUGCCACUCUUGCUUUGGAAGUCUCCUUAAAUACAGGUGAUAGUACUGCAUGUGAAAUGAUGGAUUUUCUUACUUCAUUUGUAUAUUUAAAAAAAUAUAUAUGAAGAAACUGGAGAGUAGGUGUAGGUGUUUUUAGAGGAUGCUUUUAUCUAUGGUUCAGAAUGAUCUUUUCUCUCUUUUGCUAAUUAACAAAACUUAGAGCCAGAUUGUAGUUCACUUUCUGCAGGUAUAGAGCACUUAGGAAAUCCAUUUUGUGUAUAUCCAAUUCAAAGAGGAUUAAUUUAAAACUAAAGCAAGGAAGAUAGUAAUACAUUUUAAAUACAUAUAAACCAUUCCCAGACUAAGUCUGCUUAAAUAUUUGACAAAAUUUGGGAAUCUUAUGGUGGCCAUGAAUUCAGCCAUCCUCUUUGGUGAUAAGCAAAAAAUACAGGAACAAAGAGAUUAAAUGGACAGCAUUCACUUCCCAUUUGUUACAUCAAUGUUCUUAUUGUUCAAUAUAAUGAAGAAGGAAAUCAGUCCCACUGAUAGACUACAGAGGUAAUAGCAGGGCUGGACGACGCCAUUGAGAGGCUCUGGGAAAACAUGGCAGGGAUUUCUGAUUUGGAGCAUGAGGGCAUACUUGCACAGACUACGGACUCUGUUUCUGUAUUCUAAAACUUGAGAUGCUCGGAAGAGCAUCAGAAGUUUGGUGAUUCUAAGAAGUAUGUUUAGCAAUUAACACAAACUCUGAGAAAUAUUUGGAGAAAGGAAGAUUGUCUAUAGCAUAGGGAAUAAACAGAAACCUGGAGAAUAUGGACAUCAGAGAGAGGAGAGUUUUGGGACCAGUGGAUAAGGAAAGGGCAACUAAAAUAAAUAAAUAAAUAAAUAAAUAAAUAAAUAAAUAAAUAAAUAAUUAAAUAAAUAGUGUCUCAGUGGUUUAGCGCCACCUGCGGCCCAGGGCGUGAUCCUGGAGACCUGAGUCAGGCUUCCUGCAUGGAGCUGCUUCUCCAUCUGCCUGUGUCUCUGCACCACUCUCCCGCCCCCUGUCUCUCAUGAAUAAAUAAGUAAUUUUUUUUUUUUUUAAAGAAAGGCCAACUACACAAAUAAAUAUGGGUCCAGUCCAUUUAUAUUAUGUUCAAGAGAACAUGGGCUCCCCAUCUCUAAGUCUCAAUUUAUUAAACUCCUAUUUGCCAGAACACAGUUUAUGAACACAAGAAUUUAAGGAACAUUGGCAGGAUCCCAACAUUUUUUUCCAGCCUUAUAGUUGUAACUAGGUUGUAUUUAAGGACAUAACCUGUACAGUUUAAUGAGGAUAAAUACAUUUUGAAUAAAUAUUUUAAACACACACAAUAAACCUCAAAACCAAAUGUUCCUAACAAAAUAAUAUCUCUGUCCACGGUGAUGUGGUGCAGAAUUUCAAUCACCCAUCGAAAGGAUUUUAGUUCACUGCACUCCUCACUCUAUUUUUUCUCUCUACCAUGAACACCUCCAUAUGUUGAACAUUUUAAAAUUUAUUUUAAUUUGGUGAUAGACUAUUAGUACUUGUGAAAAGAUAACACAUAUCAUGAUUGAAAUCAUUAAAAUGACUGAUUAUCACAUUUUUAUUUAAAAAAAAAAACAGAUUUUCCUCAAAAGCAGAGUGCAAAUAAGAGACCAUUUGUUAUAUUCAGUGUAGCUUUUUCAGCCAAUAUGCCUGAGCUGUUGCUGUUGAUCGGGAGACACUCGUGAUGGAUUCUUGGCAUCCACCUCACUGUUUGCCAAUUUCUGAUUUUUUUGGUUUCUCAAUGUGUGGUCAGUAUCAUCACUUCAGUACUUACAACCUGGACUGUGACCUUCCAAUUACAAUCAGAAUCCAGAUCUGUAUUUGCAGAUCCCAGGAUGAGAGUGUCAAUAUAGACCAUUAUCCUAUGUUUCCAAAUACUAAAAAGUUCUGAUCUUCUGACAUUAGCAAGUAGCUCUUUAUGAUAUCUAGAAGAAGGCCAGGUUAAAAUGCAGAAUUUCAGGCUUCUGUGUUUUCCUCUAGGAUGUAGUAGAGUAGCGGGAACCAGUUCCCUGACUCACGCCUGCCACUGUCAUCUUCCAACUGUUCACUCCAUCUUGACCAUGAUGUGCAUAUCCAUAGGCACGUACAUGGCUAUGGCUACCUUGUUUCUACAAACCAAGGUCUGUCAACACUCACUCAAGUAACUACACUUUGUUUGGCUUCAUGCUUAGUAAUUUGACCAUGGGAAGUGGGCAGGACUUGAAAGUAGGCUUGGAGUCAUUUGGAUAAGCAAUGCAGAGAUCCCAGAUACCUUGGAUCCUCUUGGCCGAAAUAGGGAGGCAUGCGAUCCAAGUGAAAAUGUCCUUUAGUCUUUGAGACUCUGUUCUAUGGAGUUUCAAAACAUUCAGAGGAGGGUCAGAGUGGGUUCCUCAGGCCUUUGUCCAUGCAUAUGCAUGUUACUGUUUAGGCCCAUAUUUCUUAGAAUUACUGGUAGGAGUAAGAUAACAACAGAGUUGAAAUUGAAUUAAGUCACAAAACGCUGAAUUCUAAAUUUUUAUCAAUUGUGCUAUUAUUAUUAUUAUUAUUAUUGCUAUAACUACUCAGUAUAGUACUGAAAUCCGGUUGUGGUUUUUAUCUAAAUAGAUUAAUAUCUAUCUAAAUAGAUAAAUAAAAAGAUAAAUAUCUUUUUUAAAAAGCUUUAUUGAUGUGUAAUUGAUAUACCAAAACCCCCACAUUUAAUAUAUAUGCCAAAAAAUCUUUAAGAAAAUAUAUCUGUUAUGUAUCAUGUAUGGCAUAGAUGUAUAGGAGGGAUAUCAAUUUUGUAGCUCUUCAUUAUUAUUCCUCUUUUAGCUUUCUCUUUCCUCAAAUUCCUAAAAUUCUUCUUGUAUAGAGAUGCCACUAAGUGAGGAAUAUUGGUAGGACAUUCAUGAAAUGUGACUGAUAGAAUAAUUGAAUUCAUACAAUUCAUUUAACUAGUAAGAAAACUAUAAUAGUUUCCAGAGGGACUUAUAUGUGUGUUUUUCCUAUAUCAGUGCUGGAUUUCGUUACCUCAUACAAGAGAAUGAGUAGGGUUACUAUAUGAUCUAAUACCAAGGAAAAGAGAAAUUCCUUUUGAUUUCAAUAGUUGAGUUAAUUCUCUAAAGUAACAGCUGUAAGAGAUGUCUUAAUGAUAUCAGAAAACUUAAAAAUCUCACUAAAAUUAUGAAAUUUAAAAAGUAGAUUCACAGAUUCUAAAUUUAGUUCUCCUGUCAUUCAGAUUCAUUUGUUAAAUUCCUCAUGACAGUAGAAUACUGGUUUUGAUUUAGCAAGAUUACAUGAAAUUAAUCAAAAUAUUCUAAAUAAUGAACUCUUUUUCUUCUUGGAAGUGAUUUAUGUUUUUGCUUUGUUCAAAAUUGGAUCAAUAUGUUUUUUUGCCCAGCAUCCUUACAUUGUUAUUAAGUUCAGGAUCUGUUUAUUCUGAGUAAAUUCUCUAAAUAAAUUAUAAUUAUAAUUGAAUAUC
rnacentral:lncRNA from 1 species